rnacentral:lncRNA from 1 species
UUUUGCAAAUAGUAAAAUUUUUUUACAAAUAGCUUUACAAAAUCACUUUUGAAAAAUUGCUUUCCAUUUAAAUUAACGCUUUACAUCUAUCAACCAGAAUCAAUUAUCCAAAAUAAAAUUAAUUCUACAGGUAUAAUUUUCGCAGCAACUAGUGUAAAACUGGCCCUAAUAUCUAAAUGACUUUCUUAUGUAUUUUUUUGUGUCAAUUUAUUUUCUCUACAUUGAUAUAUUCUUCAAUAUCUCUUUAUUAUUAGAUUUUUUUUACUUUAAUAAAAGGCCAAUUUGCAUUACAAAAUCUAUUAGUUUUGAGAUUUUGCAAAAGAAGUCACUAUUUUAGAUUUUGAAAAUUCUAUCCAAAUUUUAGUAAGCUAAUCAAAAUACCAUUAUUCUUUCUUUGUCUCUCCAUUUUUUACGCUUGUUCAUUUUCUCCUUCCGCUCUGAUUUCAUCUCCGUUCUCGUCGUUUCUUCUUCUCCUUCUCCUUCUGUUUUCUCUCCCUUCUCCUCCUUCUCCACUGCUCCUUCUUCAAUGUUGUACUCUCUUCAUUUUUUUUUUUUGCUCAUUUGUUUCUCUUUCUCUUUAGUUCACCUCCUUCUUUGUCUUUUCCUCCUCUCAUUCUCCUCUAGCUUCCUCUCCAUUCUCUUCUUUUCCUCCUCCUCCUCCUCAUCCACCGCCUUUACAUUGACGCCAUGUUCUGCUUUCUUAUCUCGCCCACAUUUGUGCUGACGCCGCUUGGAUAUGGUAGCAUCAUUUAAAACAUUUAAAACUAAAUCUCAAACGGUGUAAUUUAGUUUCAAAUAUUUUUAAAUAGUAUAGUUUAGUCUAAAAUGUAUAAUUUCUAUUUUAUAUGGUGCAAUUGGUUUUAAAUAGUUUUAAAUGAUACAAUUUUCAUUCAAAAACUAUAAUUUUCAUCUUAAAUAGUGUAGCAUUCGUUUAAAGAGUACAAUUUUCGUCUCAAACAGUGCAACUUUCGCUUAAAUAGUGCAGGAUUUUUUUUCACACGGUGUUAUUUUCUGUUCAAACAGUACAAUUUUCGUUUAAGAAAGCAAUUUUUGCUCAAAGAGCAUAAUUUUUGCUCAUACAGUGUAACUUUUUGCUCAAAGAGUGCAACUUUCACUUAACUUUCAUCUCAAAAAUAUAAUUUUUGUCUGAAUGAGUGUAAUUUUUGUCUUAAACAGUGUAACUUUUGUCUUAAACAGUACAGCUUUUAUCCUAAAUAGUACAAUUUCAUUUUUUUUUCUUUCUUUCUCUAAUUCUUGACCUUUUCUAUUGUAGCAAUAAUAUAUAAUGGCAUUCGUAAGAGAAAAAAAGUAAUUUUCUUUAUUUUUUUCUUCUUUUUUCUACUUUUUCUUUUCCACCCUCUACAUAUUUUUCCACUAUCACGCCCUCUCUCGCACUUCGUCGUAGCCAUCGCCCCCACCCACUCCCUGUCGUUCUUAAAUCUUUUGCACGGCCAAGUGCUCCGCCACAAGCCCAUCUUCGCAAUCUAUACCAUAUCUAAGCUGGCAUUGACAAUAGUGCGGGCAAGAUAAGAGAGUAGAACAUGGCGUUGAUGUAAAGACGGUGGAGGAGGAGGAGGAGGAGGAAGGGGAGAAAGAGAUAGGAGAGAAAGCAAGAGGAGGAGGAGAGGAAGAAAAGAUAAGGAAGGAGGUGAACUAGAGUGGAAGGUGUUAAGUCUUGUGUAUUGGCAAGUUUCGUGAAGUGUGUCGGAGUCUUGAAGAAUCGGUGCAUAUCGUUGAAGAUCGAAGAAUUCAAGAUUUCGAAGAAGUUGGAAAAUAACUCACGAUAUGAAUCACGAUGUCCAGGUAAAGUAUAAAUUCAUAUUAUGGUGAUUCAUACUUAGUUGUAGACAUUAGAAUCAUAAUAUCUUUGUCUAACGGAUUAGAAAGUGCAUCGGAACU